GGUCCUAAGGUAGCGAAAUUCCUUGUCGGGUAAGUUCCGACCCGCACGAAAGGUGUAACGAUUUGGGCACUGUCUCAACGAGGGACCCGGUGAAAUUGAAAUACCUGUGAAGAUGCAGGUUACCCGCGACUGGACAGAAAGACCCCAUGGAGCUUUACUGUAACCUGACAUUGGGUUUUGAUACAUUACGUACAGGAUAGGUGGGAGGCAUGGAAAGCUGGACGCUAGUCUGGCUGGAGCCGACGUUGGGAUACCACCCUUGAUGUAUUGAAAUUCUAACCGCGAGAGUAACGAAAUCCGGGACAGUGUCAGGCGGGCAGUUUGACUGGGGCGGUCGCCUCCGAAAGAGUAACGGAGGCGCCCAAAGGUUCCCUCAGCGCGGCCGGAAAUCGCGCGAAGAGUGUAAAGGCAGAAGGGAGCUUGACUGCGAGUCAAACACGACGAGCAGGUACGAAAGUAGGGCUUAGUGAUCCGGUGGUACCGAGUGGAAGGGCCAUCGCUCAACGGAUAAAAGCUACCCUGGGGAUAACAGGCUAAUCUCUCCCAAGAGUCCAUAUCGACGGGGAGGUUUGGCACCUCGAUGUCGGCUCAUCACAUCCUGGGGCUGAAGUCGGUCCCAAGGGUUGGGCUGUUCGCCCAUUAAAGUGGUACGUGAGCUGGGUUCAGAACGUCGUGAGACAGUUCGGUCCCUAUCCAUCGCGGGCGCAAGAGAUUUGAAGGGGGCUGCUCCUAGUACGAGAGGACCGGAGUGGACGAACCGCUGGUGUACCAAUUAUCCCGCCAGGGGUACAGUUGGGUAGCUACGUUCGGAAAGGAUAAACGCUGAAAGCAUCUAAGCGUGAAACCAGCCUUAAGAUGAGAUCUCUCAUAGAGCAAUCUAGUAAGACACCUUAAAGAAGAUGAGGUUGAUAGGUCGGGAGUGUAAGUACAGCAAUGUAUUGAGCGGACCGAUACUAAUAUGUCGAGGGCUUGACUUA
rnacentral:rRNA from 1 species